GACAGAGGCCCCGAGCGUUAGGCGGAAUCACUGGGCUUAAAGCGUGUGUAGGCGGGCCCGUAAGUGUCUUGUGAAAUCCCACGGCUCAACCGUGGAACUGCUGGGCAUACUGCGGGUCUUGGGCCAACUAGGGGCAGCCGGAACAAGCGGUGGAGCGGUGAAAUGCGUUGAUAUCGGAAGGAACGCCGGUGGCGAAAGCGGCGUGCUGGCCCUCUUCUGACGCUGAGGCGCGAAAGCCAGGGGAGCGAACGGG
rnacentral:rRNA from 1 species